rnacentral:rRNA from 1 species
CAGUAGCCGCGGUAAUACGGAGGGGGCUAGCGUUGUUCGGAAUUACUGGGCGUAAAGCGCACGUAGGCGGCUUGGUAAGUUAGAGGUGAAAGCCCGGAGCUCAACUCCGGAAUUGCCUUUAAGACUGCCGAGCUAGUAGGUGAGAGAGGUAAGUGGAAUUCCGAGUGUAGAGGUGGAAUUCGUAGAUAUUCGGAAGAACACCAGUGGCGAAGGCGGCUUACUGGCUCAUUCUAGACGCUGAGGUGCGAAAGCGUGGGGAGCAAACGGGAUUAGAUACCCCUGUAGUCCCUGUCUCUUAUAU